rfam:Eutrema salsugineum unplaced genomic scaffold scaffold_8, whole genome shotgun sequence.
GCCCCCAUCGUUUAGUGGUUCAGGACAUCACUCUUUCAAGGAGGCAUCGGAGAUUUGACUUCCCCUAGGGGUA